AAAAUAAUUUCAGUUCCAUUUCUGGAAACCGAACUCUCUCUCUCUUGCGCGCGUCCGAGCCCAGAAAAAACAGAGCAAAGCUCUCCGGCCGAGUUCUCCCUCCUCCGGCCACCAAUCGACACCAGACCACCUCCCUUGCCUUCGCCUCGACGCCGCCUACCUGCUAGACGUGAUCACUUCCACCGGAACGGCCUCAAAUCCGGCAGUCGGAGCCGCAAACUUUGAAACAAAAAUCGGUCAACGCCGGUUUUCUCCUAGCUCCGGCCACCAAAACUCACGAUCCUUAGCUCCCUGAACUCGCCUCAACCUUCUGAUCAUCAUUCUAGAAGGAUCGCACCUGGAGUGAUCGGAUUCACGUUCGUCGGAGCUCGCCGGAUUCUGGAAAUUUUCCACCACCACCGAAGCUUUUGAUAGAAGGAAUCGAAGCCUGAAAUUGAAGUUUUGACGUCGAAAUCAAGCCUUGCCGGAUUCUGCAAAAUUCUGGAAUUUUUCCGACCACCGAAGCUUUCGAUCGGUAUAUCUCGAGCUACAGACCAUAUUUUUCUGUGAUUCUUGAACCAGUGAGUUCUUCUUGAGUUUCUUAACAACUCUUCAGAAGGAAUCGAAGCCUUAAAUUGACGUUUUUACGUCGAAUUGGAGCUCGCCGUUUUCUGCAGUUUCUCGCCGGUUUCUGGAAAAUUCCGGCCACCUUCAUACUGUUCAAGGUGAUCGACGGUUUGAUUUGGCGGACGAUUCGUGAAAUUGUAUUUUGAGCUGUUAAGAAGACGCAGCGGGAAUUUAGAGCGGGUAAUCCUACAGGUCAGGAGAACCAGGACGGUGAUCGGGCUGCUUAGAGUAGUGUUAUGUGAAUUACAGCAUUAUAUUGUGAGGUUUGUUAUGCUCAUUUAGAGCUUUACGAUUUUACUUUGUAAGAGUGAAUUGUAAUAAUUAACUCGAGGUUUUCGAGUUUUGUGUUGA